GUGGGAGCCGGGCUUGUCCGCGAUAGCGGUGUAUCAGUUGAUGUAUUGGGUGACUGACACACUGCUAUCGCGGGCAAGCCCGGCUCCCAC
rnacentral:misc_RNA from 1 species